rnacentral:rRNA from 1 species
GUACACGCUGUGACUAGCAUAUCAAUAAGCGGAGGAAAAGAAACUAACAAGGAUUCCCCUAGUAACGGCGAGUGAAGCGGGAAGAGCUCAAAUUUGAAAUCUUAAAGGGUUUCCCUUUACGAAUUGUAGUUUAAAGAAGAGUUUUCUGUUGAGGUUUUGGUAAAAGUUCUUUGGAAUAGGACAUCAUAGAGGGUGAGAAUCCCGUAUUUGACCUUUACUUUCAACUUUGUGAUACACUUUCAAAGAGUCGGAUUGUUUGGGAAUGCAGUCCAAAAUGGGUGGUAAAUUUCAUCUAAAGCUAAAUAUUGGCGAGAGACCGAUAGCGAACAAGUACCGUGAGGGAAAGAUGAAAAGAACUUUGAAAAGAGAGUUAAACAGUACGUGAAAUUGUCAAAAGGGAAGCGUUUGACACCAGUGUUGUUUUUCUGAAAAUCAAUUAAAGAACUGUUUAUGCUAAGCUGUUUAGACUUUAUCAGCUAUCUGUUUAGUUUUGAGCUUUUCUUUAAUGCACUUUUCAGUUAACAAGUCAACAUCAAUUUCUUUUGCUGUAAAAAAGCUUGAGGAAGGUGGCUUGAGAUUCGUCUUAAGUGUUUAUAGCCUCUUGCCUAUGCAGUCGGAGAGAUUGAGGUCUGCAGCGUAGAUCCUUCGGGGCUAAAUGCAUUUGUGCUAAGUUAUAGCAUUUUAUAGACAACUUGUUGACUAUGAUUUGUCUUGUAGCUUACUCGCUUAUGUUAUUUUACCUACGCUUAGGAUGUUGAGUCGUAGAGCACGCAG